rnacentral:rRNA from 1 species
GUGGGGAAUAUUGGACAAUGGGCGAAAGCCUGAUCCAGCCAUGCCGCGUGUGUGAAGAUGGUCUUCGGAUUGUAAAGCACUUUAAGCGAGGAGGAGGCUACCGAGAUUAAUACUCUUGGAUAGUGGACGUUACUCGCAGAAUAAGCACCGGCUAACUCUGUGCCAGCAGCCGCGGUAAUACAGAGGGUGCAAGCGUUAAUCGGAUUUACUGGGCGUAAAGCGCGCGUAGGUGGCCAAUUAAGUCAAAUGUGAAAUCCCCGAGCUUAACUUGGGAAUUGCAUUCGAUACUGGUUGGCUAGAGUAUGGGAGAGGAUGGUAGAAUUCCAGGUGUAGCGGUGAAAUGCGUAGAGAUCUGGAGGAAUACCGAUGGCGAAGGCAGCCAUCUGGCCUAAUACUGACACUGAGGUGCGAAAGCAUGGGGAGCAAACAGGAUUAGAAACCCGGGUAGUCC